rnacentral:lncRNA from 1 species
GUCCUGAGCCCCUUCCAGAGCAACCCCUGGACCAGCCAUGAGUCAGCUAUGGCUGGGCAGCAGGGAUCCUCGAGUUCCUGUUCUGGAAGCAUGAGUCAGGCCCAGGUGGGAGAGGAGGGAGGUCAUACUGGGGUCAGAUGCCGGACCCAGGCAGGAUCAGACAGGCGCCUGGCUGCCACCUUAUCAUGAUGCUUGCCAGCCCAGAGCCCAUCUCUGAUUUCUUGAGAGCCUCUAUUCUUUAUCUAGAUCAUAGCAGUCACCAGUGAGGACCCAGAUGUGCUUUCCACCAGGCUUUGGAGAACAUCUGAGGAGUGGAAAUUCCUAUUUUAACCCUCUUUCCCACACCUCUGACUCUUGAGCAGGGGUCCAUUGUCCGCUGUUGCUGCAAACUGUGACCGUUCAGUACAAUGGACAGUGCUCAUGACUGGGGUGGGGUGGGGACAAGCUUCUCUGCGCUGUGCAAAAGUCAGUGUUUCAGCCACACUAGGCAUGUGCCCAGUGCCCAGCUCCUUAUCUCUAGGAGCCAUUGUCUCACUUGUUUCUUAUGGCAGAUAAAGAUGGCUUAUCCAUCUCUUAGGAACAAAGCACGCCACUUUAGACAGUCACAAACAUGAACGACCUUAUUUAGGAAUCAGGUGCCUCAGAGAGAGCCUUUGCAGGCUGAAACAUGGAGGGAAGUGGGGACUUAUCUCUUUGCCCCCCAGAUAUGCAGAAAAAGGCAGUGCGGGAACACACACACACACAGACACACACACCUGGACAGAGAAACAAAGCAUUCAUUGAGCGCUUGCUGUGGACCGACCCUUAUUAGGCACUGGGAGGGAGUGUAUAGAAAAGUGAGUUUGCACAGCGCUUGCCUUUAGCAGCUCACAGUUGCAUGGAGAAGACAUGCAUCAGCAAAUGCUUACUGCUUUUCCAUUUUUGAAAUUUGUAGGACUAUCCCAGGGAAAACAUUGAAACUGUUAAAAUAUGCAAAAAGUGAAGCAGCAGCUUUGCUGUGGGGAAAAACAAACCUCAGAAACCCUUAGUGACAGGCCACUGAACACUGGUUCCUAAGGCAGUUCUCUCCUGGUUCCACUGGCAACUGCACCAGCUGGACCCCUGCCACCCCUGCUGGGGAAACAGUGAAGGGGAAAUGGCAUAGAGGGCCAAGGACAACAGGUUCUGGUGACUUAGAUUUUAUAUAUAUAUAUACACACACACACACAUAUAUAUAUAUACACACACACACACACACACACGUGUAUAUAUAUGUGUAUAUAUAUGUGUUUAUAUAUAUAAUGUGACAAUACCAGAGAGCAAAGGCACUGCUCUCUUCCUCUCCCCUCCUCCCUUCCCUAGGCUCCUCCUUCCCUGAGCCUUCAAGGCCUGAUGGUAAGGUCUCGGUCCCAGUGGAGGAUAGGAAAAGUCCCGGUUUGCUUCACUUCCUA